UCUCCAGAGUAGAGAAGAUGAUAUUGCACUGGAUUUCAUUUGAUCCAUGUCGGUGAUUUCAUGACUGUGAGAACAGGGAAUGUGUUUUGUUUUCAAAUUUAAGGUUAUGUUUUUGUGUGGUGAGGUUCCAAACUCAAGGAGCAAUUUCUGCAGUGAUUUCUACAGUGAGCAAAAACCUACUGUGUGGUUGUGGGCCAAGAUCAAUGGUUGCAUUCCUGCUGCUGAGACUCUGCUGCCUUGGGACUCAUCUCUUGGCUGAGGCUACCAUGAGAGACAUUGAAGAGCUUACAGGUGUUUGGCAUUGCACUGGGUGUCCCUGGAGAGUUCUGAGGGUGGUGAGCUGCAGUGGUGGUGUCUGUGAGAAGGGCCAGGGGCUGCCCCAAGCUGGAGAUUGCCAGCUCCACUGGACUCUCCACAGGACACAGCAAACAUCUCAUCUUGGGAAAAGAAGCUUCUCCACUUGGUUCUGAUUUUAAUCACAGAAUCAGAGAGUAAACUGAGUUGGAAGUGACCCCCAAGGAUCACCUAGUCCAAUUCCUGGCCCUGCACAGGACUGUGUCCAAGAGCCGUGUCGUGUGGCCAAGAGUAGCUGCUAUUCUGAAAUAUUACAGAAAGACUUUUGCAGACGUCUUGUCUCUCUGCCUGAUAUUUGAGACCCACAGAGUCUGUGAACACAGUGUUUGUCUUUGAGGAAACAGGUAACCAGACAUAGAGCUGCAAUUUGAGAACACAAAACCAGUAUCUCCUCACGUGGUGGGCUGGAGCCAAGAACACUGUGCUAUCCCUGCAUAGUGAGAAUGAAUUCUUUGGUUGCAAACAUGUGAAGCAGAUGUCUGCUUUCUGUGUGUGACAGGGGACCCAAUCCAUUGCUUUUUGACGUCAAUAGGACCGGGGCUUUUUUCAAGGGCAUGCAUUUAUCUUGUCAAUGCGGUCUAACCAGCCAGCCUUGCUUCACUGCUCUGCUCUCACACAGAGAGAAGAUUUAUUCAAGUUUCGUUUAACCCCUGCAAUAUGUUCAGUGGUUGCUGCUGUCCUCCUACGAUGUAAGGAGCUUCAUGGAGUGCUGUGCUCUCUGGCCAAGCAGACACAGCAAGAAGAGAGAGAAGAUAUGAAGCACACAAACCGAGCCACUGGAACGCAAAAUUAUAACGUACAGAUUUAUGCAAGAGGGAUGACUGCAAAGUGCGUUGCAUGAGCAGUGUAAGAAGCUGAAAAUUGCUGCUGUUGUAGCUGUCAUA